CCUACGGGCGGCAGCAGUGAGGAAUAUUGGUCAAUGGACGCAAGUCUGAACCAGCCAAGUAGCGUGCAGGAUGACUGCCCUAUGGGUUGUAAACUUCUUUUAUAUGGGAAUAAAAUGUUCCACGUGUGGGAUUUUGUAUGUCCCAUAUGAAUAAGGAUCGGCUAACUCCGUGCCAGCAGCCGCGGUAAUACGGAGGAUCCGAGCGUUAUCCGGAUUUAUUGGGUUUAAAGGGAGCGUAGGUGGAUUGUUAAGUCAGUUGUGAAAGUUUGCGGCUCAACCGUAAAAUUGCAGUUGAAACUGGCAGUCUUGAGUACAGGAGAGGUGGGCGGAAUUCGUGGUGUAGCGGUGAAAUGCUUAAAUAUCACGAAGAACUCCGAUUGCGAAGGCAGUUCACUGGACUGCAACUGACACUGAGGCUCGAAAGUGUGGGUAUCAAACAGGAUUAGAUACCCCAGUAGUC
rnacentral:rRNA from 1 species